CCCUUAGAUGUUCUGGGCCGCACGCGUGCUACACUGAUGCAUUCAACGAGUCUAAAACCUGGUCUGAUAGGGCUGGGUAAUCUUUUGAAAGUGCAUCGUGAUUGGGAUAGAUGAUUGCAAUUCUUCAUCUUCAACGAGGAAUGCCUAGUAAACGCAAGUCAUCAGCUUGCAUUGAUUACGUCCCUGCCCUUUGUACACACUGCCCGUCGCUCCUACCGAUUGAAUGAUCCGAUGAAUACCAUGGAUUGAGAGUACGAAUAGGUUCGCUUAUUUCUGCUGCUCGAGAAGUGGAGUAAAUCUUAUCAUUUAGAGGAAGGAGAAGUCGUAACA
rnacentral:rRNA from 1 species